rnacentral:rRNA from 1 species
GACGAACGCUGGCGGCGUGCCUAAUACAUGCAAGUAGAACGCUGAAGGAGGAGCUUGCUUCUCUGGAUGAGUUGCGAACGGGUGAGUAACGCGUAGGUAACCUGCCUGGUAGCGGGGGAUAACUAUUGGAAACGAUAGCUAAUACCGCAUAAUAGCAGUUAUUGCAUGAUAACUGUUUGAAAGGUGCAAUUGCACCACUACCAGAUGGACCUGCGUUGUAUUAGCUAGUUGGUGGGGUAACGGCUCACCAAGGCGACGAUACAUAGCCGACCUGAGAGGGUGAUCGGCCACACUGGGACUGAGACACGGCCCAGACUCCUACGGGAGGCAGCAGUAGGGAAUCUUCGGCAAUAGACGGAAGUCUGACCGAGCAACGCCGCGUGAGUGAAGAAGGUUUUCGGAUCGUAAAGCUCUGUUGUAAGAGAAGAACGAGUGUGAGAGUGGAAAGUUCACACUGUGACGGUAUCUUACCAGAAAGGGACGGCUAACUACGUG